UGGGAGGAAGGGUGGGGAUGACGUCAAGUCACGCAGUGGCCCUUACGGUCCGGGGCUACACACGUGCUACAAUGGCCGGUACAAAGGGUUGCGAAGCCGUGAGGUGGAGCGAAUCUCAAAAAGCCGGCCUCAGUUCGGAUUGGAGGCUGCAACUCGCCUCCAUGAAGUCGGAAUCGCUAGUAACCGCAGAUCAGCUACGUUGCGGUGAAUACGUUCCCGGGCCUU
rnacentral:rRNA from 1 species